rnacentral:rRNA from 1 species
AGUGAACGCUGGCGGUAGGCCUAACACAUGCAAGUCGAACGGCAGCACAGUAAGAGCUUGCUCUUACGGGUGGCGAGUGGCGGACGGGUGAGGAAUACAUCGGAAUCUACUUUUUCGUGGGGGAUAACGUAGGGAAACUUACGCUAAUACCGCAUACUACCUACGGGUGAAAGCAGGGGAUCUUCGGACCUUUCGCGAUUGAAUGAGCCGAUGUCGGAUUAGCUAGUUGGCGGGGUAAAGGCCCACCAAGGCGACGAUCCGUAGCUGGUCUGAGAGGAUGAUCAGCCACACUGGAACUGAGACACGGUCCAGACUCCUACGGGAGGCAGCAGUGGGGAAUCUUGGACAAUGGGCGCAAGCCUGAUCCAGCCAUACCGCGUGGGUGAAGAAGGCCUUCGGGUUGUAAAGCCCUUUUGUCGGGAAAGAAAAGCAGCAGGUUAAUACCCCGCUGUUCUGACGGUACCCAAAGAAUAAGCACCGGCUAACUUCGUG